CAAAUGUUUUAUUAAAGGCACUCAAUUAAACAUAUUUUCCUAUAAUUACCAGUAAAAAUAUAAAUAAUAUUUUUUUUCUUUUUGUAAUAAACAAUACAUUAGCUUUCAUGUUGAAAAUAUCACCCUCAAAUAGGAAAGCAUUGUUCGGUUGCAAUCGAGUAACUGACCGAAAUGGACUACAACAGCAACCAUCAACUCGAUUAUACGAUGGCGGUUGCUGGCAUUGGUUGUGACCGAUGGGAUCGGUACCACUGUGAUUCGGUCGUCGGGGCACUCUCCCCCCAAUAGAAUCGAUCGAAAAACCAAGGGGAGGGGAAAAUUCUAUUAAUAGGCUUCAUUAAACCUCACCCCUGUUCUGUCUUCCCUUGCCGACCUUCCCUCUUUCUUCAUUUGUCUCCCCUUUCUUCUUCCUACUUCUUUCCUCUGCUUGGUGCUCUUUGUCGUCUCCUCCUGCCGGCAUCUAUCCUCCUCCUUGCUGCCGGUCACCUCUGUUUCAAGGAGGAAUUCCUUGGUAAUGAAGAAUCCCAAUCGUUGUUGUAUCUGUAAGUCGUGACCUGACCACAAUCACACAGGGCCCAUGGGCCAGGUCCAGCAGUCCAGGUUCGAGAGACUUGCAUUCGCAUGAUACUGGGCUUCGGACAACAGUCUAUGGGAGACGACAGAAUCAAAUCAAAUCAAAGCAAAGAAUCAUUGGAAACGGGCAAAGCACAAAGCAAAACCGUCUAUGGGAAAUCAACUGGUUUGAAACAUUUCUUUAAUUUGAAUCUAUCAAAUUUGAACAGGAGCAAGCUCCGGUGCCACCUAAGCUUCAGCUUUCAGGUUGCUGCUGCAAUUGAAACGGGCCAUUAGUUAACCUCGUAUCACUUAGUCAAAAUCAUGGUCAUUUCGAGCAGAGAAAGGUGGGGAUUAGUUAACCUACCAUAAUCCCUCGAGUUAUCAUUAUAGAGGCAGAGUGAAGAGAAAGGCCCUUUGUUGAUGUAAAGUGUUAAGCUUCUUAAUUGGAGGGGUGAGCUUGUUUUCUAUAUCAGGCAUGGUUACUAUAUCAUAGUCAUAGUUUUCUUGCCAUUUUGGUUGCACGAACAGAUGCGUUCGUCAUGUGAAAUACUAAAAGUGAAGGCAGCUGCAGCUGCAGUUAGGCAGGGGCCCUGGCUUCCCCCUUGGCUCUUGAAACCUUGGCUUGACCUUUUCUCAAACAAAAAGGCUGCUGUUGGCAAUUGUGUGAGUAGAGCCCAUCUUUACCAGGCCAACAACUGAGCUGAAGCAGGAUAGGAACCACUUUUUUGUUGCAGAUACCUAUUGUUUGAAACCCUCGUAGCACAUAUCUGAUUAAAAUUGGUAUUUUACAUUCGGAAAGUAUUCAAAAACAAAGUUUAUGACAAGAAUUAAAUCAUCACAGUGUACGGUUUUCUUCCAUUAUUGCAGACACAUGAUGAAAAACUGUUCAUGAUUAUAUCAGUGAGCCGUGAAGCUUCUGUCACGUAGUUUGUCUUAUGAGAUGUAUAACUAUUAAUGGUGAUGGAUCGGUUGUUAUUUUGUUUGU